rnacentral:rRNA from 1 species
UCGAACGGCAGCACGGGUGCUUGCACCUGGUGGCGAGUGGCGGACGGGUGAGUAAUACAUCGGAACGUAUCCAGAAGAGGGGGAUAACGCAUCGAAAGAUGUGCUAAUACCGCAUAUUCUCUGAGGAGGAAAGCAGGGGAUCGAAAGACCUUGCGCUUUGGGAGCGGCCGAUGUCUGAUUAGCUAGUUGGUGGGGUAAAGGCCUACCAAGGCGACGAUCAGUAGUUGGUCUGAGAGGACGACCAGCCACACUGGGACUGAGACACGGCCCAGACUCCUACGGGAGGCAGCAGUGGGGAAUUUUGGACAAUGGGCGCAAGCCUGAUCCAGCAAUGCCGCGUGAGUGAAGAAGGCCUUCGGGUUGUAAAGCUCUUUCAGUCGAGAAGAAAAAGCUGCAGUGAAUAACUGUAGUUCAUGACGGUAUCGACAGAAGAAGCACCGGCUAACUACGUGCCAGCAGCCGCGGUAAUACGUAGGGUGCGAGCGUUAAUCGGAAUUACUGGGCGUAAAGGGUGCGCAGGCGGCUUUGUAAGUCAGAUGUGAAAUCCCCGGGCUUAACCUGGGAAUUGCGUUUGAAACUACAAGGCUAGAGUGUGGCAGAGGGAGGUGGAAUUCCAUGUGUAGCAGUGAAAUGCGUAGAGAUAUGGAAGAACAUCGAUGGCGAAGGCAGCCUCCUGGGUUA